rnacentral:rRNA from 1 species
CUGAGAGUUUGAUUCUGGCUCAGAACGAACGCUGGCGGCAUGCCUAACACAUGCAAGUCGAACGAACCCUUCGGGGUUAGUGGCGCACGGGUGCGUAACGCGUGGGGAUCUACCAUAGGGUGCGGAAUAACUCAGAGAAAUUUGAGCUAAUACCGCAUAAUGUCUUCGGACCAAAGAUUCAUCGCCCUUUGAUGAACCCGCGUAAGAUUAGCUUGUUGGUGAGGUAAAGGCUCA